ACUAGCACAGUGUUGGCCCAAAAUAGGUCUCUAAUAAUCAUUAGUAGAAUGAAUGAGGGGUGAGCAAAUUGAUGCAGAGAUGGAGACUAAAAGUCUAGAUUGCACUUUCAUUGCUGCUGUACUAAAUAUACCUGUAGAUUUUAUGUGUAGUAAUUUAUCUACCAGAAUCACAUGCAGAUCACAUACCCCUAUGAAUUAUCUUUGUAUUCUAUAUGACUUAAACAAAAAGAUUGUCCUGAUUGAAAAUUAGGAAAACUUUUAUUAUUCUUCGAAAGUAUUCAGAAACAUUGUUGAAGAAGAGCAACAGAUUCCCUUAAAAGUUGUGAUACAGUGGGUAGAGAGAACUCUUUACUAUGUAUAAGAUGUCUCUAAAAUCUUUGUCUAUGCACAACACAAAUGAGCAGUCUUCAUGUAAAAUAACACAAAUACUUGCAACCUGCUACACAUCACUCUUUAUGAAUGUCUUUUUAAUAAAAAGAACCUUGUGCAUUAUAAGUGCUAAUUACUAACAGACCAGAGCUAAUUACAGGAAACUGUAAUGUAUGCUUUUGAGAACGGUUCUUUCAGACCCAAACAGAAGAAGCAUUCAUAGGUGAAUUGGCUCCUGAAUAAAUUUCACUGAGAAAUCUUUACCACUGACAUAUGUGAUACUGCACUAAGACCUCAGCCAGCAUUUGAGGAAUCACCUUUACAAUCACAGCCUCCUGUUGGAAAUAGUUUUGAAAUUUGCCCAGUAAAAUGUACACUGUGCUACCUUGGGAAUUUUCCUAAAAAUGCAUGGGAAUUUGGUACUGUGUUUUGGAUGAGAAAUGUCUCCCACGGUCUCUGGCAUUUGGAUACAUUACUUCCAGUUGAGGACACUCUUUGGAGCUUUAAGUAUCAUACCCUUGCUGAAGGAAGGUUUUCACUGGUUACAGACUUUAAGAAUAAAAGCUUUUGUAAACAUUUGUUGUCAGUAGCCCCUCCCUUGAGAAACAUUAUGAUUUGAUGCAGAAAGAAACCAGGCCAAAACCCAAAAU
rnacentral:lncRNA from 1 species